CAACGGCUCUUCUAAUUUGAAAUCCACCUGUCGCCUUUUCCUCCAGUGAAUUCAUCCUCGCACAACACUGAGAUGAAGGCAAAGUCACCAUGAAAAGUUAAACGUUUAACGUUAAGCUACAGCAAUUGAUGUUGAAAAACUGAUGCUACCAAUCUCUCCUCACUUGAUUAUUCAAGGUAAUGUUGAUGUCUUCCUCAUUUUGAUUAGAUUAUAAAAUGUCAAGUUGUUCACAGAUUUGUUGUGAGGAGUUUCAUGUACAACCUCUUUUUCUUCUUCCAGUAG
ensembl:processed_transcript